CUUUGCCCUGGUGGCUACGUGGGGAGACUCCCACCGCCACCCGAGGAAGCUCCCUCACGGAAACAAAAAGCAGCGGCGGGAAUUUGUCAAGUAUCUCUGUGGUGGAAGACAGGACUUCCAGGUCAGUAGUGCUCCUGAGUGCUGCUAUGUGCUUGUAAAAUUCCAUGUCUGAAGAGGCACAGUUUACUCUACCACUCAAGAAGUGACUUUAGCACUAAAGGGAGUUGUGGAAACUUCAGCUGCAGCAGUUCCAUCCUGAGUGGAGCAGCACAGCCAAAUCUGGUGAAGGAGUGUGUUGUCGGGGCCCUUAAUAACCAGAGCAGACAUGGGAAAGAUGGAGGCAGACCCUUCUUGAUGAAAGGACAAGAGGCUGUGGACACAGACUGGAAUACAGGGAACUCCCUUUAAACAAGAAAGCCAGAAUCUCCUUUUGGAUGUCUUUAUUUACUUAUUUCGUGUAUCUGAUGUACUUAAAGGGCUGAUUUCCAUAAUGAAAUAGGUUCAGAGCCUGUAUGCCCUGUACACCAAUAAAAAGAGUUGGUGAAAC